GAUGAAGAACGUAGCGAAAUGCGAUAAGUAAUGUGAAUUGCAGAAUUCAGUGAAUCAUCGAAUCUUUGAACGCACAUCGCGCCCGCCAGUAUUCUGGCGGGCAUGCCUGUUCGAGCGUCAUUUCAACCAUCAAGCCCCCGGCUUGUGUUGGGGACCUGCGGCUGCCGCAGGCCCUGAAAACCAGUGGCGGGCUCGCUGUCACACCGAGCGUAGUAGAUUUUCAUCUCGCUCAGGGCGUGCUGCGGGUUCCGGCCGUAAAAAGCCUUAUUUACCCAAGGUUGACCUCGGAUCAGGUAGGAAGACCCGCUGAACUUAAGCAUAUCAAUAAGCGGAGGA
rnacentral:misc_RNA from 1 species